rnacentral:rRNA from 1 species
AUUGAACGCUGGCGGAAUGCUUUACACAUGCAAGUCGAACGGCAGCACGGGGGCAACCCUGGUGGCGAGUGGCGAACGGGUGAGUAAUACAUCGGAACGUGCCCAGUCGUGGGGGAUAACGUAGCGAAAGUUACGCUAAUACCGCAUACGAUCUACGGAUGAAAGCGGGGGACCGUAAGGCCUCGCGCGAUUGGAGCGGCCGAUGUCAGAUUAGGUAGUUGGUGAGGUAAAGGCUCACCAAGCCGACGAUCUGUAGCUGGUCUGAGAGGACGACCAGCCAAACGGGGAAUGAGACACGGCCCAGCCUCCUACUGGAGGCACCAGUGGGGAAUUUUGGACAAGGGGCGCAAGCCUGGUCCAGCCAUUCCGCGUGCAGGAUGAAGGCCCUCGGGUUGUAGACUGCUUUUGUACAGAACGAAAAGGUUUCUACUAAUACUAGGAGCUCAUGACGGUACUGUAAGAAUAAGCACCGGCUAACUACGUGCCAGCCGCCGCCGUAA